AAAUAUGGCUUGAGAAUCCUCUCCCUACAAACUUUUUUUGACCUCCCUGACUACUAUAGAUCAGAUCGAAGGAGGAGGUGGAGAUCCUUCUUCUCCAAUUCUUAAUCCCUAUGUUGAUGUUUUCGUUCUUUCUCUUGGGACAAACUUAGUAUGUUUGCCGAAUAAUUUGAGUUCUCUAAGUGUUCUAUUUGUGAGUUUGUCGAUUGACAACAUCAGUGCGGCGAUGAUGAUGAAGAUGAUGGUUCUGAUGGACAAUCUUUUUUGAUCUACAUACGGAUCUGUCUCUACUUCCAGAUCUAUUUUCCUGUUGCCUCAAAUUGUUAGAUCUGUUUUGGAUUCGGUUUUAAACUGAUAGAUUUGGAUUUGUAAAUAAAAGUCAAGACCGAGCAACGAGGCCCAUCGGAGAUUAGGGCCCUACAAGGCCUGUCUCUUGGUGUAAUACCUCCGGUGCCCAUUUCUAUCAGGAGGGUUUAGUCUAUUGUAUUUUUGUUUUGUAGUUCUCAUAUUUUGUGGGUUGUAUUCCACUGUUUCUGAUGACUCGAGUAUCGUUUGGUCUCA